CCCGCUCUAGGACGGCGCAUUUACUCUUUUUCUGUUCAAACCCUCAAAACAUGUGCGUGACGUGGUUUGGAUCGCACUCCUCCCGGGUAGGUAGGGAACGCACUAACCAAGGGCGUGUUUGGUUUCAUGGCUUGCACCUGGCUCGUACUUGCGAUGCAAUUUUCUCGAUGUUUGGUACCCUGCAUGCCUUCCUGGGCCAGGCCCGACGGAUGCAAAGGAGCCUCCCAGCCAGGCUGAGGCGGACGCAAGAAUCCGCCGUAUCUCCGAGCCAGGCCCGUGCCUGCAUGCGCACCUCGUGUUUCUCCUUUUCCCCUUCCUCUCUCUCACGCGUCAGAUUGGAUCGAGCAUCCAAUUCACUUCCGCCCCCGCUGUCUGAGCUCCGUCGGCCAUUAACAGUCCGAACUCCCCUUCCACCAUAGGUCCGUGCUCCCUCACCGGCGCUCCUCCACGCCAACAUUGGGGGCCACGCCGACCGCCACCAAUCGAGAGGAAGAUGGGGGAGGGGAGCACCUGGGCCACGCCGGCCGCCGCCAACCGUGAGCUGCAACCGGCGCUGCCACCAAUCCAGGUGCAGUCGCAUCUCCGCCGCCGAAAUCUCCUCCUGGCAGGCCAUCUCAACGUCCUCACCUGUUCAUCUGGUAGUUCUCAGACACGGCCAUCUACUGCAUCUCAGUAGAAUGUGCAAUAUUUUUUUAGAUGAACUAGAAUGUGCCAGGUUGGUGGAAAUAUUUUGAUUUGUUUGUGAAAUUCCCGACGAAUAAUUGACACUUGAGCUUUUGGUUCAAUUUCAGUUCAAAUUUGUUUUACCUGUUCCAUGGAAUGGUCCAAAUCCAAUUGAAAAUUUUGAAUGGUUGAAAUUGGAAGAGAAGAGUUUACAUAAUUAAGCCCAAUUCAGCCUACCAAACAACAUUUGUCAUGUAUAGCAUCCCUCGUGCAUCCAUAUCAUGCAGCCAACCAAACCCACAGCUCACUCCAUCUUUGCAUCCAAUCAAGCAGGCCAGUCUCACCCAGGAUGCCGAUGCAGGCUAGAGCCACCCAGGCAACCGAAUACGCCCCAAGUGUGCCACCAGACCCGAUGUGCUAGGUUCCUUUUUUUAUUUCUUAAACUGCAAACCUGAAAGAACACAGUUGUUUCCUGUUUGGUUUUCUUUGUCUCUUCUUUUUCUUUUCCUAUUUUUGUUUUCUUAAACGGUGAACUUCUUUAAAUUUGUAAAACAACAAAAAUUGAUGAUUUUUUUUUAAAAAUUGUGAACCUUUUAUUGAAAUUGAUGAACUUGUUUUCAAAAUUGAUGUACUUUAUCUAAAUUUCUGUUAACUUUUUUUAAAAAAAAAUCAAUGAUUCUUGUUUAAAAUUGAUGCAAAAUUUCAAAAUUGUGAACUUUUUUCACAAUUGAUGAACCUUUUUGCAAAUCUAUAAAAAAUCAAAAUCGAUGAAUAUUUUUCAUUUAUGGGAAGGUUUCAAAGAAUUGAUGAAGUUUGUUUCUAAAUUCAUGGAUUUUUUUCAAGUUUGUGAACUUUUCUUCAAAGAUAAUGUGUUUUCUUCAGUGUUGCAUAUUUUUUUGGCAUUUUUUAUGAACUUUUUAGAUUCGCAAUAUUUUUCAAAAUUCGCUUGCUUUUUCUCAAAGGGAUGAACUUUUUUACAAAAUCUACAAACCUAUUUUUAUUUCAGAUUUUUUUCAUUUUUUUUAAAACAGUUGGUUUUUUCUUCCAGGCCAAUAGCACAAAAGACAAAAGAAACUAGCGAGCGGCCCAGCGAACAAAGCUUGCGACAGAGCAACUGGAGCGAGUGAGGGGCAUGCAAGCGAAUUCACGUGGCUGGUCCGCAGCCCGCUUGGGCGCGCGAGAGUGCCAGCUGCGCAAAAUAGGAGGGGAGAUAUACAGUAAAGCAGGGCUCAUUGACGACAUAUGGAGCGAUUAUACAUGAGAUAAUAGAACACUCUACUAGUUUUACUGCUUGUAACAUAGUCCAUGAAUUUAGGAGGUAGAACACCCAUGCUCACAAUCUCGCUAAGCAUACAUUAUCACUUGGUUUUGGCCGUCAUGUUUGGUUUGGGCAACCUGAUGACUUACUCUUUAUACCUAUAAACGUUAUGAUUUGAAUAAAGCUUGCCAAGUUUGUCUAAAAGAACUGCGCGAAAUAGGAGGCUAGAUAUACAGUCUUUUUUGCAUCAAAAUGCAUAUAACGCGGGGCAGGAGACGUGAGUGCCACUUACGUUUUUUU
rnacentral:lncRNA from 1 species